AACGAACGCUGGCGGCGUGCUUAACACAUGCAAGUCGAGCGGAAAGGCCCUUCGGGGUACUCGAGCGGCGAACGGGUGAGUAACACGUGGGUAACCUGCCCUUCACUCUGGGACAACUCCGGGAAACCGGGGCUAAUACCGGAUAUGACCCUUUGAGGCAUCUCUCGGGGUGGAAAGUUUUUCGGUGAAGGAUGGACCCGCGGCCUAUCAGCUUGUUGGUGGGGUAAUGGCCUACCAAGGCAGUGACGGGUAGCCGGCCNGAGAGGGCGACCGGCCACACUGGGACUGAGACACGGCCCAGACUCCUACGGGAGGCAGCAGUGGGGAAUAUUGCGCAAUGGGCGGAAGCCUGACGCAGCGACGCCGCGUGAGGGAUGACGGUCUUCGGAUUGUAAACCUCUUUCAGCAGGGACGAAGCGCAAGUGACGGUACCUGCAGAAGAAGCACCGGCCAAC
rnacentral:rRNA from 1 species